rnacentral:rRNA from 1 species
AUUGAACGCUGGCGGCAUGCCUUACACAUGCAAGUCGAACGGUAACAGGUCUUCGGAUGCUGACGAGUGGCGAACGGGUGAGUAAUGCAUCGGAACGUGCCCAGUAGUGGGGGAUAGCCCGGCGAAAGCCGGAUUAAUACCGCAUACGACCUGAGGGUGAAAGGGGGGGAUCGCAAGACCUCUCGCUAUUGGAGCGGCCGAUGUCAGAUUAGCUAGUUGGUGGGGUAAAGGCCUACCAAGGCAACGAUCUGUAGUUGGUCUGUGAGGACGACCAGCCACACUGGGACUGAGACACGGCCCAGACUCCUACGGGAGGCAGCAGUGGGGAAUUUUGGACAAUGGGCGCAAGCCUGAUCCAGCAAUGCCGCGUGCAGGAAGAAGGCCUUCGGGUUGUAAACUGCUUUUGUCAGGGAAGAAAUCUUCUGGGUUAAUACCUCGGGGGGAUGACGGUACCUGAAGAAUAAGCACCGGCUAACUACGUGCCAGCCGCCGCGGUAAUAC